UGGGGAAUUUUGGACAAUGGGCGCAAGCCUGAUCCAGCCAUGCCGCGUGCAGGAUGACGGUCCUAUGGAUUGUAAACUGCUUUUGUACGAGAAGAAACACUCCUUCGUGAAGGAGCUUGACGGUAUCGUAAGAAUAAGGAUCGGCUAACUCCGUGCCAGCAGCCGCGGUAAUACGGAGGAUCCAAGCGUUAUCCGGAAUCAUUGGGUUUAAAGGGUCCGUAGGCGGUUUAGUAAGUCAGUGGUGAAAGCCCAUCGCUCAACGGUGGAACGGCCAUUGAUACUGCUAAACUUGAAUUAUUAGGAAGUAACUAGAAUAUGUAGUGUAGCGGUGAAAUGCUUAGAGAUUACAUGGAAGACCAAUUGCGAAGGCAGGUUACUACUAAUGGAUUGACGCUGAUGGACGAAAGCGUGGGUAGCGGAC
rnacentral:rRNA from 1 species